AUUUAUACGGGGAUUGAGUCGAACCGAGACGGCCAAAGUGGUUGCAGCUGUCUGGCAUUGACGGUCGUCUUGGUCGUCGAUGUUGAUAGAUGGUUGUUUGCUACAACAUUUUGCUCGUUGCGAAGAGACGAGAAUCCGAUUCUCUUUUUUUACGUGUCACUCUCCUUCUCGUUAAGUGUGCAGGGUUUCUGUUUGUUUUCAUUCUCUCCUCGAGCCACUCUGGAUAACUUGUGAUUUGAACUGUUGAGCGCGUCAGUGUGCGAUCGUUGUCUCAACUGUGCAACCGACAAUUAACCAACAAUAAACAAGGAAGCAAAGAGAGCCCAAGAGAGCGGCCGCAAACUGGGCGAAUUGGCGUGCCAUGUGCCACUUGGAUCGACCAUGGCCGCCGACCAUCACAUCCAGCAGCAUCAAGCCCAUCAGCAUCACUCGUCGCAACAGCCAACAACGCCAUCGACAACGACAAUAACACGCGAAGACAGUUUGGAGCGCCUGUUCCCUCGUUGUCGUCUGCGAUCGCCGCCCGUCGACACGGCCGUCCUCAUCGAUUUGAGCGAUGACAACGUGGUCCAAACGAGCGCUGCCCUUCCUUUGCAUUCGUUCGGCCGACCGACGCCCAUGACUCAUGCGGAUGGCGGUCAGUCUGACAGCGACGCGUCGCCGAUCCGUCGGCCGCCUUCGCUCAAAUUGAACAUCGCAGCCGGACAGCCACAGCAGCAGCAGCUGUUGCAACAGCGCCGUUAUUGCCCGUCGGUCAAGUACAGGACGGAGAGUGCGGAAUUGCGGCGAUCGAAAUUCCUGCGCCGGCCGCGCACCUUGGAUCACAACACGUGGAGCCUCUACGGCGACGUCUACGCCGGAGGCUACGAGCCCAGCUCGGACUCGGAGGACAACGACGGCGAUCAUUUCGGUUUCCCGUCCGGCGGUAAAUCUGGCAACGUGGCACCGGCCCCUUCGUCGUCGAGCUCGUCGUCCAGCUUGAGGAAGUCGAAUCCGUCGGCGUCUGCGGCUGUGCGGACCAGCGCCUCCGAGUCGCACAUCGUCGGCCAUUGGAAGAAAGGAGGUCACAAUGGCCACCACGCCGAGGCGGCCGGCCAUCAGCGGCAUCCGCGUCGUCGCGGCGUCAAAGAAAUUUACGACUUGACACCUACGCUGUCUGCCGGAUCGGCUUCCGGUGGCGGUGGCGGUGCAAGUGGCUCGAGCGUCCAGCUCGACCCCACGCGAAUGGAAAUCGCCGGCGGCCGAGAGAUUGUGUCGCUUUCGAGAAGCCGGACGCGAGGAUCGCAGCGGAAACAGCACCGGGUUCAAUCGAUGGUCGAUCCGGCGCCCGUGGAUAGCCCUCCUAACAACAACAACAACAGCAACAAUAACAACAACAAUAGUACGCCGUCGUCGAGCAGCAACCGGAGCAUGAACCGCUACAGCGGCGAGGUUUAUUACGAGGAGAGCGUGGGCCGUUACGGCUUCCACGUCGGCGGAGGCAACACGCUGUGGGGUAGUCAAGGGCUGGAGCCGAGCUUCAGCAUUGCCAGCCAUUUGAAUGAGAAACAAUAUCCUUCCUCCGGCAACGCUGCAGCCGCCGGAAUGGCUGACGGCACUGCGGCCAAGUCGGAGCAGACGUGCGCCCAGCACCACGGCCUCAAACGGCCGCUCUCUUGGGCCGGAGAUGAUCCGGUGACGGAUCGUCAAAUGGCGGAACAGCAUCCGCAACGAGAAGCUCGAGAGCUGGCCAGCGCGUCGAGUCCGGAUCGCCAAGGGCAGUCGUCUGAUGGCGAGGCGAAGCCUUCGGCCACGCUGCCCAACGGCCCGUCGACCGCAAUCGAAGAUGCGGCCGGUACUCAAAUGCAGGCCGUUCACGGCUACUUGACUGAUUUCUAUCCGGAAGUGGUGGCGGCCGAGCUGAACAGCGCCGAUCCAUCAUCGCCGAGCCCUUUGAAUCUUGACAACUACCUGUCGGAACAGUUGAACCAGUUUGCCCAGCAAAAAUCCAUCAGGCGGGAGGCCAGCGAAGCGGAAGAAGCGUCGCAGCUGCUGCUAUCGCAAUCGCCACCCGCUCAGCAGCAGCUGACUGUCGCCACUGUCAUUGGCGGAUUGACUAUCGCCCAGUAUGAAGGAUCACCUCGUCGCUAUGGCGUGCGAGCUCAUCCGGCGGCGAUGCCCGUUGCGCCCGUCAAUGCCAACGGACAGGAUGAAUAUUCGGAUGAAUGCGGCAGAGCCGCAAACGGACCGAUCGCGGGCUUGCCUCAGGCGCGACCUUUAGUUCCAGGAUUUCCCAGGCGAAUCACGAGCAGUCCCAAUCCGGCCCAUCCGCAGGCGACGUUCAGCCCGUCGGCUACCAGGCAGACGUUGGUGGAUUUGGCCGCCGGGCCGGCGGCCACGUCCACGCCCGUCGCUGCUACGCCGGAAGCUUUGUCAGCCAAUCAUCUGUCGUGGCACCUGGAAGACGUCGACGACAGGAGCAUCCGCUCAUCCGGCGGGCAGGAUCAGCACGCGGACGCCAUUUCCCUCAACGCGGAGACGGACCUGGGCGAAACGGAGGUCGGACUGCAGAUGGGCAAGAGCCGCAAUUUCACGCUGUCCCCCGAAACGACCGAUUACGACGAUUCCGAGCUGGACAUUUACAACGGCGCCGAACUGUCCGUCUGUCCGGACAUUCCCGCCCUGAACGGAACCCAAACGUCCGCAUCGUGUCACGUGGAAUCGUUCGACGGCGUGGCUGUAGGCGCCGAAACGGCGGGCCGUCGGCGGAACAGCAGCAAAAGCCAGAACGGACUGAAAGGCCAGUUCAGUAGCAUGCCCAUCUUGGAGGACGGCCUGUCGUCGGGCCGCAGCAGCGCCGCCAGCGGCCAUGAAGACAUCAGCGUCGCUAGUAGCGCCAGCAUCACCAGCGCUAGCGACACGGAAGAGGACGCCGUAACGGAUCGCAUCCCGCUCAUGUCGGAUCGCCGGAUGAAACAGUUGUCUGCCCAGCAGCAACAUGCAUUGCAUCCGGCCAAUAAUGGAUGCCGUAAUCUGGCGGGUGCCAGCCCGCUCCAAUCAUCGAUCACGGGCCUUUCUGGUGCUCGUUCCACCAAGAAUUCUUGCUCGUCUUCGUCUUCUUCGACCACGGCGGCGGCUGCUGGUCAUCAACAACAACAACAACCGCAAGCGAUGUGGUCGAAGAAGUUGUCGUCUGCUCUCUCGGAUUGCGACCAUCACAAUCAUCAAGAGGCCGGCAUAAUCCAGGGUUCGUUUCGAGCACGGAAUGCCACGCCUCCUCCGCCGGCCCCGAUCGCUCAUCGGCCGCCGAGUUCGACUACUCAACAACACGCUGUGCAGACGGCCGCCUCUACAUCGCCGACGGUGAGCAACGGUGUCAAAUCGUUUGCGGCCGCAUCGGCGGUUGGCUCCGUUGGAGCGCAACAGAACCGCGCCAACAAUCACGCCAGUCCGUUGAGGCUCAGUCCAGGCCCGGAUACGCCUUCCAUCACGUCCGGUGGCGCUGGCGGAAGCAGUAGUAGCAGCAGUAGCAGUAGUAGCGGUAGCAGUUGUAGUAGUAGCGGUGUCGGUUCGUCUGCCGGCAAAAUGCAGAACGUUGGCGGCCAACAACAGCCGAAAGGGUGGGCCCUUCGGGCGAUUUGAGUUUGCACGAACUCGGCGACGCGCUCGAUCACGGACGCAUGAGGAAAGCCAGUUCGGUGCCGCCUCCAGCUGCCGUUGCCGCAAUACAGUCACCCCUCUCUCGUUCGCCGCCCGUCUGGGUGCCCAGGCAGAGCAGCGAUUAUUGGGCCAAGAAUUCGCCCACAUCGACGUCACCCAGGUCUCGAUGCAAAGUGGGCGGAUCUGGCAUGCAUCCGGACGGCAGUAAACUCAAUG